UAACGAAUCUUCCGCAAUGCACGAAAGUGUGACGGAGCGACGCCGCGUGUGGGAUGAAGUUCUUCGGAAUGUAAACCACUGUCAGGGGUUAGAAAGUUCUGAUCAACCCCAGAGGAAGGCACGGCUAACUCUGUGCCAGCAGCCGCGGUAAGACAGAGGUGCCAAGCGUUAGGCGGAAUCACUGGGCUUAAAGCGUGUGUAGGCGGAUUCCUAAGUACCUUGUGAAAUCCCACGGCUCAACCGUGGAACUGCUUGGUAUACUGGGUGUCUUGAGCCACUUAGGGGCUACCGGAACAAAUGGUGGAGCGGUGAAAUGCGUAGAUAUCAUUUGGAACGCCAAUGGUGAAAACAGGUAGCUGGGAGUGUGCUGACGCUGAGACACGAAAGCCAGGGGAGCAAACGGGAUUAGAUACCCCCGUAGUCC
rnacentral:rRNA from 1 species